GUCAGCCUUAUAACCUGUAAGAGUGAAUUGUAGCUGUUUGAUUCACGGAGUGACGUCAAGAAAAGUACUUUACAUACGAGUUUUCGUUUUUAAACUAUUGUGGCAUGGGCGAAGACCACCCCCGUUCUAUGUGUACGGUCGAUUCAGUGGACAGCGCCUUCUUGGAUAUAUGCAGGUCGUUGAACAACGUUUUAAUUGGGUAUAAGAGGUAAGUAGGGAAAUGCACAACGCUACGAUUUUAGGCGAUACGAAAAUCAUGGCGCUAAAUCAGAGCGGCGAGUAUGGAAGUAGGAUUUUGUGGCCAUUGCCUCCCUCCACAAUGCGAAUCCCGUCGUACCCGACUUAAACGAGCACACGAACGCGUAGUUUGGCGGGUAGAGCUUCUCCGCUACUUGACGCUGCUUCCCAGAGCAACCCUUAGAACGAGACCGGGAACUGUAGAACUUCUCAACAACAAGACUUGCAGAAAAUUGUGAAAUACACCCUAAAACGAUAGCGGUGAACCAGAGAUGAGUAAAGAGAUUUCAACUGGCAUUACCUAAGAUUACAUUCUCAAGCAUCUUCAAAUAACAAGUAAAAUUUGAUCUUCUAUUUGAAGAAAGAAGGAAAAAAUCAGUUACACAGAAAUAUUGAAAAUAUGAAACAUUGAAUAAAGCUUUCCAAAUGUUAUUGAAUAUUAUUGGAUAAAUAAAAUUGAGUCUAAUUCAAUAUCUCCCAAAAUAUAAGGAGUAGAUAAAAACUGAAUCGAAAUUAUAAAAUGUCGAAAAUAAAUUACGCUCUCAUUGAAAUAUUAAUAAAUUAAGUGUUUGGAAUAUUAAAAUAAUUAAUUGAAUCAAUAAAGUUAGAUAUUAACACUUGGAAAUCAG